rnacentral:rRNA from 1 species
UGGAGGCAGCAGUGAGGAAUAUUGGGCAAUGCCCGAAAGGGUGACCCAGCAACGCCGCGUGGAGGAUGAAUGCCGUAAGGUUGUAAACUCCUUUUGAGAGGGACGAAUAACUAUAAUUCGUAAGGAUUAUAGUCUGACUGUACCUUUAGAAGAAGCCCCGGCUAACUACGUGCCAGCAGCCGCGGUAAUACGUAGGGGGCAAGCGUUGUCCGGAUUUACUGGGUGUAAAGGGCGUGUAGGCGGGUUUGUAAGUCAGAGGUGAAAGCCUGCAGCUUAACUGCAGAACUGCCUUUGAUACUGCAUAUCUUGAGUUCGGAAGAGAGAAGCGGAAUUCCAGGUGUAGUAGUGAAAUACGUAGAUAUCUGGAAGAACACCAGUGGCGAAGGCGGCUUCUUGGUCCGUAACUGACGCUGAGGCGCGAAAGCGUGGGGAGCAAACAGGAUUAGAUACCCGGGUAGUCC